UACAAAAUAAUUUAUAAUAAUAUUUACUUUGGAUGUAAAAAAUGUGCUGCUAUUACCC
rnacentral:tRNA from 1 species